rnacentral:sRNA from 1 species
GCCAGGCGCAGUGGCGCAAGCCUGUAAUCCCAUUAGCUUGGGAGGCUGAGACAGGAGAAUCCUGAGUUCAAAGCCAGCCUCAGCAAUGGCAAGGUGCUAAGCAACUCAAUGAGACCCUGUCUCUA